UAGGGAAUCUUCCGCAAUGGGCGAAAGCCUGACGGAGCAACGCCGCGUGAGUGAUGAAGGGUUUCGGCUCGUAAAACUCUGUUAUUAGGGAAGAACAAAUGUGUAAGUAACUGUGCACAUCUUGACGGUACCUAAUCAGAAAGCCACGGCUAACUACGUGCCAGCAGCCGCGGUAAUACGUAGGUGGCAAGCGUUAUCCGGAAUUAUUGGGCGUAAAGCGCGCGUAGGCGGUUUCUUAAGUCUGAUGUGAAAGCCCAUGGCUCAACCGUGGAGGGUCAUUGGAAACUGGGAAACUUGAGUGCAGAAGAGGAAAGUGGAAUUCCAUGUGUAGCGGUGAAAUGCGCAGAGAUAUGGAGGAACACCAGUGGCGAAGGCGACUUUCUGGUCUGUAACUGACGCUGAUGUGCGAAAGCGUGGGGAUCAAACAGG
rnacentral:rRNA from 1 species